rnacentral:rRNA from 1 species
GGACGGGUGAGUAACGCGUGGGAACGUGCCCUUCUCUCUGGAAUAGCCCUGGGAAACUGGGAGUAAUGCCGGAUACGCCGGGCCAUGGCGACAUGGUUUGGGAAAGAUUUAUCGGGGAAGGAUCGGCCCGCGUCGGAUUAGGUAGUUGGUGGGGUAACGGCCUACCAAGCCGACGAUCCGUAGCUGGUUUGAGAGGAUGAUCAGCCACACUGGGACUGAGACACGGCCCAGACUCCUACGGGAGGCAGCAGUGGGGAAUCUUGGACAAUGGGGGCAACCCUGAUCCAGCCAUGCCGCGUGAGCGAUGAAGGCCUUAGGGUUGUAAAGCUCUUUCAGCGGGGAAGAUAAUGACGGUACCCGCAGAAGAAGCCCCGGCUAACUCCGUGCCAGCAGCCGCGGUAAUACGGAGGGGGCUAGCGUUGUUCGGAAUUACUGGGCGUAAAGCGCACGUAGGCGGAUAGUUAAGUCGGGGGUGAA